CAAAACUUGAUGUGUUAAUUGGG
rnacentral:siRNA from 1 species